rnacentral:rRNA from 1 species
UGUAAGCGUAUACCAAGGUUGUUGCAGUUAAAACGCUCGUAGUCGGACUUUGGCAGUUCCGGAUGUGUGCACGUCGUGUGCGCACUUCGCGGGGAUUGCUUUUGUGGUCUUGCGUAGGAUGAGGCACUUUUAUUAGUGAACGUCCUCACGCAACCACUUUUUACUGUGAGAAAAUCAGAGUGCUCAAAGCAGGCAUUUGCCGUGAAUGUAUUAGCAUGGAAUAAUAGAAUAGGACUUGGUUCUAUUUUGUUGGUUUGUUGGGACUGAGUAAUGAUUAAGAGGGACAGUUGGGGGCAUUUGUAUUUCGGUGCUAGAGGUGAAAUUCUUAGAUUACCGAAAGACAAACUGCUGCGAAAGCGUCUGCCAAGGAUGUUUUCAUUGA